rnacentral:rRNA from 1 species
GACGUAGGGCGCGAGCGUUGUCCGGAAUCAUUGGGCGUAAAGGGCGCGUAGGUGGCCACUUCAAGCGUGCGGUGAAAGUCGGGGGCUCAACCCCUGAUCGGCCGUGCGAACUGGGGGGCUGGAGCACUGUAGAGGCAGGCGGAAUUCCGGGUGUAGCGGUGGAAUGCGUAGAGAUCCGGAAGAACACCGGUGGCGAAGGCGGGUCUCUGGGCCGUAACUGACGCUGAGGAGCGAAAGCGUGGGGAGCGAACAGG